rnacentral:rRNA from 1 species
GCAGUCGAACGGUAACAGGCCGCUGGGAUCCCUUCGGGGUGACCUUGGCGCUGACGAGUGGCGGACGGGUGAGUAAUGCUUGGGAAUUUGCCUAGUAGUGGGGGACAACACGGGGAAACUCGUGCUAAUACCGCAUACGCCCUACGGGGGAAAGCGGGGGAUCUUCGGACCUCGCGCUAUUAGAUGAGCCCAAGUCCGAUUAGCUUGUUGGUGAGGUAAAGGCUCACCAAGGCGACGAUCGGUAGCUGGUCUGAGAGGACGACCAGCCACACUGGGACUGAGACACGGCCCAGACUCCUACGGGAGGCAGCAGUGGGGAAUAUUGCACAAUGGGCGCAAGCCUGAUGCAGCAAUGCCGCGUGUGUGAAGAAGGCCUGCGGGUUGUAAAGCACUUUCAGUAGAGAAGAAAAGCCUGGGGUUAAUACCCCCGAGUCUUGACAUUAACUACAGAAGAAGCACCGGCUAACUCCGUGCCAGCAGCCGCGGUAAU